ACACUCCUACGGGAGGCAUCAGUGGGGAAUAUUGGACAAUGGGCGCAAGCCUGAUCCAGCCAUGCCGCGUGAGUGAUGAAGGCCCUAGGGUUGUAAAGCUCUUUCACCGGUGAAGAUAAUGACGGUAACCGGAGAAGAAGCCCCGGCUAACUUCGUGCCAGCAGCCGCGGUAAUACGAAGGGGGCUAGCGUUGUUCGGAUUUACUGGGCGUAAAGCGCACGUAGGCGGACUAUUAAGUCAGGGGUGAAAUCCCGGGGCUCAACCCCGGAACUGCCUUUGAUACUGGUAGUCUUGAGUUCGAGAGAGGUGAGUGGAAUUCCGAGUGUAGAGGUGAAAUUCGUAGAUAUUCGGAGGAACACCAGUGGCGAAGGCGGCUCACUGGCUCGAUACUGACGCUGAGGUGCGAAAGCGUGGGGAGCAAACAGGAUUAGAAACCCUAGUAGUCCCAUGAU
rnacentral:rRNA from 1 species